rnacentral:rRNA from 1 species
GUCGAACGGUAACAGGCCGCAAGGUGCUGACGAGUGGCGAACGGGUGAGUAAUGCAUCGGAACGUGCCCAGUCGUGGGGGAUAACGCAGCGAAAGCUGUGCUAAUACCGCAUACGAUCUAUGGAUGAAAGCGGGGGACCGUAAGGCCUCGCGCGAUUGGAGCGGCCGAUGUCAGAUUAGCUAGUUGGUGGGGUAAAGGCCCACCAAGGCGACGAUCUGUAGCUGGUCUGAGAGGACGACCAGCCACACUGGGACUGAGACACGGCCCAGACUCCUACGGGAGGCAGCAGUGGGGAAUUUUGGACAAUGGGCGCAAGCCUGAUCCAGCAAUGCCGCGUGCAGGAAGAAGGCCUUCGGGUUGUAAACUGCUUUUGUACGGAACGAAACGGUCCGGGUUAAUACCCUGGGCUAAUGACGGUACCGUAAGAAUAAGCACCGGCUAACUACGUGCCAGCAGCCGCGGUAAUACGUAGGGUGCAAGCGUUAAUCGGAAUUACUGGGCGUAAAGCGUGCGCAGGCGGUGAUGUAAGACAGGCGUGAAAUCCCCGGGCUCAACCUGGGAAUUGCGCUUGUGACUGCAUCGCUGGAGUGCGGCAGAGGGGGAUGGAAUUCCGCGUGUAGCAGUGAAAUGCGUAGAUAUGCGGAGGAACACCGAUGGCGAAGGCAAUCCCCUGGGCCUGCACUGACGCUCAUGCACGAAAGCGUGGGGAGCAAACAGGAUUAGAUACCCUGGUAGUCCACGCCCUAAACGAUGUCAACUGGUUGUUGGGUCUCUUCUGACUCAGUAACGAAGCUAACGCGUGAAGUUGACCGCCUGGGGAGUACGGCCGCAAGGUUGAACUCAAGGAAUUGACGGGACCCGCACAGCGGUGGAUGAUGUGUUUAAUUCGAUGCAACGCGAAAACCUUACCCACCUUUGACAUGUACGGAAUUUGCCAGAGAUGGCUUAGUGCUC